rnacentral:misc_RNA from 1 species
GAUGAAGAACGUAGCGAAAUGCGAUAAGUAAUGUGAAUUGCAGAAUUCAGUGAAUCAUCGAAUCUUUGAACGCACCUUGCGCUCCUUGGUAUCCCGAGGAGCAUGCCUGUUUGAGUGUCAUGAAAUUCUCAACCUUUUCAGCUUUCUUUGUUGAUCAGGCUUGGAUGUGGGAGUAUGCGGGCUUCUCAGAAGUCGGCUCUCCUGAAAUGCAUUAGCGGGACCUUUGUUGCCUGGCUUUGGUGUGAUAAUUAUCUACGCCAUUGUAGUCAAGCAGCUUAAAAUGAGGUUUCAGCUUCUAACCGUCUCCCCUGAGACAACUUUUUGACAAUUUGACCUCAAAUCAGGUAGGACUACCCGCUGAACUUAAGCAUAUCAAUAAGCGGAGGA